rnacentral:tRNA from 1 species
GGGCCCGUAGCUCAGCUUGGUAGAGCGGCGGGCUCUUAUCGCGGAAGUCCCGGGUUCAAAUCCCGGCGGGCCCGCCA